rnacentral:tRNA from 1 species
GGGAGUAUAGCUCAGUUGUAGAGCUUGUGCUCAGCAUGCACAAGGUCCUGGGUUCAGUCCCCAGUACCUCCA